rnacentral:misc_RNA from 1 species
GAUGAAGAACGUAGCUAAAUGCGAUAAGUAAUGUGAAUUGCAGAAUUCAGUGAAUCAUCGAGUCUUUGAACGCACAUUGCGCCCCCUGGUAUUCCGGGGGGCAUGCCUGUCCGAGCGUCAUUGCUGCCCUCAAGCACGGCUUGUGUGUUGGGCCCCCGCCCCCCGGCUUCGGGGGGCGGGCCCGAAAGGCAGCGGCGGCACCGCGUCCGGUCCUCGAGCGUAUGGGGCUUCGUCACCCGCUCUGUAGGCCCGGCCGGCGCCCGCCGGCGACCCCAAUCAAUCUUUCCAGGUUGACCUCGGAUCAGGUAGGGAUACCCGCUGAACUUAAGCAUAUCAAUAAGCGGAGGA